CUCGUAGGCGGUUUGUCGCGUCGGGAGUGAAAUCCAUUGGCUUAACUGGUGGCUUGCUUUCGAUACGGGCAGACUGGAGGUAUGCAGGGGAGAACGGAAUUCCUAGUGUAGCGGUGAAAUGCGCAGAUAUCAGGAGGAACACCGGUGGCGAAGGCGGUUCUCUGGGCAUGUCCUGACGCUGAGGAGCGAAAGUGUGGGGAGCGAACA
rnacentral:rRNA from 1 species